ACAAACUUGGUCAUUUAGAGGAAGUAAAAGUCGUAACAAGGUUUCCGUAGGUGAACCUGCGGAAGGAUCAUUACCGAGUGAGGGCCCUCGCGGGUCCAACCUCCCACCCGUGUCUCCUAUAUCCUCUGUUGCUUUGGCGGGCCCACCGGGUAUCCCGGUCGCCGGGGGGCGCUUUUGCCCCCGCGCCCGCGCCCGCCAGAGCGCCUAUGAACCCUAAUGAAGAAGGACUGUCUGAGUGAGUUGAUAAUAAUCAAAACUUUCAACAAUGGAUCUCUUGGUUCCGGCAUCGAUGAAGAACGCAGC
rnacentral:misc_RNA from 1 species